rnacentral:rRNA from 1 species
UGCAGUCGAGCGAACGGACGAGAAGCUUGCUUCUCUGAUGUUAGCGGCGGACGGGUGAGUAACACGUGGAUAACCUACCUAUAAGACUGGGAUAACUUCGGGAAACCGGAGCUAAUACCGGAUAAUAUUUUGAACCGCAUGGUUCAAAAGUGAAAGACGGUCUUGCUGUCACUUAUAGAUGGAUCCGCGCUGCAUUAGCUAGUUGGUAAGGUAACGGCUUACCAAGGCAACGAUGCAUAGCCGACCUGAGAGGGUGAUCGGCCACACUGGAACUGAGACACGGUCCAGACUCCUACGGGAGGCAGCAGUAGGGAAUCUUCCGCAAUGGGCGAAAGCCUGACGGAGCAACGCCGCGKGAGUGAUGAAGGUCUUCGGAUCGUAAAACUCUGUUAUUAGGGAAGAACAUAUGUGUAAGUAACUGUGCACAUCUUGACGGUACCUAAUCARAAAGCCACGGCUAACUACGUGCCAGCAGCCGCGGUAAUACGUAGGUGGCAAGCGUUAUCCGGAAUUAUUGGGCGUAAAGCGCGCGUAGGCGGUUUUUUAAGUCUGAUGUGAAAGCCCACGGCUCAACCGUGGAGGGUCAUUGGAAACUGGAAAACUUGAGUGCAGAAGAGGAAAGUGGAAUUCCAUGUGUAGCGGUGAAAUGCGCAGAGAUAUGGAGGAACACCAGUGGCGAAGGCGACUUUCUGGUCUGUAACUGACGCUGAUGUGCGAAAGCGUGGGGAUCAAACAGGAUUAGAUACCCUGGUAGUCCACGCCGUAAACGAUGAGUGCUAAGUGUUAGGGGGUUUCCGCCCCUUAGUGCUGCAGCUAACGCAUUAAGCACUCCGCCUGGGGAGUACGACCGCAAGGUUGAAACUCAAAGGAAUUGACGGGGACCCGCACAAGCGGUGGAGCAUGUGGUUUAAUUCGAAGCAACGCGAAGAACCUUACCAAAUCUUGACAUCCUUUGACAACUCUAGAGAUAGAGCCUUCCCCUUCGGGGGACAAAGUGACAGGUGGUGCAUGGUUGUCGUCAGCUCGUGUCGUGAGAUGUUGGGUUAAGUCCCGCAACGAGCGCAACCCUUAAGCUUAGUUGCCAUCAUUAAGUUGGGCACUCUAAGUUGACUGCCGGUGACAAACCGGAGGAAGGUGGGGAUGACGUCAAAUCAUCAUGCCCCUUAUGAUUUGGGCUACACACGUGCUACAAUGGACAAUACAAAGGGCAGCGAAACCGCGAGGUCAAGCAAAUCCCAUAAAGUUGUUCUCAGUUCGGAUUGUAGUCUGCAACUCGACUACAUGAAGCUGGAAUCGCUAGUAAUCGUAGAUCAGCAUGCUACGGUGAAUACGUUCCCGGGUCUUGUACACACCGCCCGUCACACCACGAGAGUUUGUAACACCCGAAGCCGGUGGAGUAACCUUUUAGGAG